ACACGGACCAAGGAGUGCAACAUGUGCGCGAGCCCUUUGGCGAGCAAACCAGAAGGCGUAAUGAAAGUGAAGGCACGGUCGCCGUGCUGAGGUGAGAGCUAUCUCUGACGGGAUGGCACAUCAUCGACCGAUCCCAUCUGCACUGCUCGCAGUGUGGCGGGAUUCGAGUGAGAGUGUACCUGUUGCGACCCGAAAGAUGGUGAACUAUGCCUGAAUAGGGUGAAGCCAGAGGAAACUCUGGUGGAGGCCCGUAGCGAUUCUGACGUGCAAAUCGAUCGUCAAAUUUGGGUAUAGGGGCGAAAGACUAAUCGAACCAUCUAGUAGCUGGUUCCCUCCGAAGUUUCCCUCAGGAUAGCUGUAGCCCGAAGCAGUUUUAUCAGGUAAAGCGAAUGAUUAGAGGUAUCGGGGAAGAAACUUCCUCGACCUAUUCUCAAACUUUAAAUAGGUAAGAAGUCCGACUUGCUCAAUCUGAAGCCGGACACAGAAUGCUGGGUUACUAGUGGGCCAUUUUUGGUAAGCAGAACUGGCGAUGCGGGAUGAACCGAACGCAGAGUUAAGGUGCCAAAGUCGACGCUCAUCAGAUCCCACAAAAGGUGUUGGUUGAUAUAGACAGCAGGACGGUGGCCAUGGAAGUCGGAAUCCGCUAAGGAGUGUGUAACAACU
rnacentral:rRNA from 1 species